AUACAUUAAAAAUAAAAACUUAAAUUUUCUUCACAUAUACCACACAAUUGUAGAAUCUAAAUCAGACAACAAUCUAAUAAAAGUUACUAAUCCAUAUUUCAAUUAUACAAACCAUAAUUAGUCAUAUUAAUUCAAUUAUUACUAAAUAGGACUACCACUGUGCGUAGCGACCCCCGGAUGAAUCGUUGGGAAAUACGGUUUUCCCGUUCAUCUCACAAUAUAUUAUACCCAUGAAUUCAAACGCUCUCUCACCCCUUACCUUUUCCAACGCUUUCGCACACGGAUACAACUCCGCAAGAAAAAAACAUAUGUUCUUUAACUCCUUGUCCUUCAAUUGAUCUAACUUGACAGUUUAUGUUUAAACGUCAGAAAUAAAUUAUAAAAAUACACUCUAAAAAGGUCAAUUUUCGAAAUAGAAUCAAGUUAACUUACCUAAAUUGGAAAACAAUAAUGGUAUAAUAUAGCCAUCAUUCACACGGUCAUUUUGACGUUGGUUUCACUCAAAUCGGACUUACGGUGAAGAAGAACGGUUCAAAAUAACGAAUUUCAUAAACAGAGACGUCGAGUAUUUUAGAGAUGAAUUGGGAUGGUUAAAAAUCUGAAGAAAAAAAAAU
rnacentral:lncRNA from 1 species